rnacentral:rRNA from 1 species
UACGAAGGGUGCUAGCGUUAUUCGGAAUAACUGGGCGUAAAGAGCGUGUCGGCGGUCUUUUAAGUCAACUGUAAAAGAGCUCGGCUUAACCGAGUAAAUGCGGGUGAUACUGGAAGACUAGAGUGCGGGAGAGAAGGGUAGAAUUCUCGGAGUAGCGGUAAAAUGCGUAGAUCUCGAGAGGAAUACCGGUUGCGAAGGCGGCCCUUUGGCCCGUAACUGACGCUUAAGCGCGAAAGCGUGGGGAGCAAACAGG